rnacentral:rRNA from 1 species
CCUACGGGAGGCAGCAGUGAGGAAUAUUGGUCAAUGGACGAGAGUCUGAACCAGCCAAGUAGCGUGAAGGAUGACUGCCCUAUGGGUUGUAAACUUCUUUUAUAUGGGAAUAAAAUGUUCCACGUGUGGGAUUUUGUAUGUACCAUAUGAAUAAGGAUCGGCUAACUCCGUGCCAGCAGCCGCGGUAAUACGGAGGAUCCGAGCGUUAUCCGGAUUUAUUGGGUUUAAAGGGAGCGUAGGUGGAUUGUUAAGUCAGUUGUGAAAGUUUGCGGCUCAACCGUAAAAUUGCAGUUGAAACUGGCAGUCUGGAGUACAGUAGAGGUGGGCGGAAGUCGUGGUGUAGCGGUGAAAUGCUUAGAUAUCACGAAGAACUCCGAUUGCGAAGGCAGCUCACUGGACUGCAACUGACACUGAGGCUCGAAAGUGUGGGUAUCAAACAGGAUUAGAUACCCCAGUAGUC